UAGGGAAUUUUGCGCAAUGGGGGAAACCCUGACGCAGCAACACCGCGUGAAUGUUAAGCCCUUCGGGGUGUAAAGUUCUGUCAAUAGGGACGAAUUUUGACUGUACCUAUAAAGGAAGCACCGGCUAACUCCGUGCCAGCAGCCGCGGUAAUACGGGGGGUGCAAGCGUUGUCCGGAAUCAUUGGGCGUAAAGCGUUCGUAGGCGGUAUGCCAAGUUUGAUGUUAAAGCCCGGGGCUCAACUCCGGUUCGGCAUUGAAUACUGGUAAACUAGAAUGUGGUAGAGGUAAAGGGAAUUCCUGGUGUAGCGGUGAAAUGCGUAGAUAUCAGGAGGAACAUCGGUGGCGAAAGCGCUUUACUGGACCAUUAUUGACGCUGAGGAACGAAAGCCGGGGGAGCAAAUGGG
rnacentral:rRNA from 1 species